UUUAAAACAUAAAGGAAAGAUUUAUAUUACGUUACAAUCAUCCCAAAAUCACGGUGUCACUGAGAUCAUGAGCGUCUAAGAUAAAUACAUAAUCUAUCAAAGUGUCUAAGAACCAACAGAAAAAUACAACUGGAAAUGAGAAGGAUAGCCAAGGCCUGCGAACGCGAUGUAGAUACCUCAGCAACUCCACAGUCUGCGACCUCAAUCAACGAUUGCUAUUGGGACCACAUAUACCUGGAUCUGCACACAAGGUACAGGGGUUACGUGAGUACACCAACUCAGUAAGUAACAAGUCCAAACUAUAGACUGAGAAGUAGUGACGAACUCAACCUCUUCAUAAGAUAAACAGGAAUAUCGUGCAGAAAAGUAGGCAUGCUUUCAGUUAAUGAACCAACUCAUAACAGGGAAAUAGAGCAAGUAUGAACAUGAUAAAGGAGUAUAACUCCGCUACAUCUACAUGCCAAUGCACAUACUAUAUGAAUGCACUAUGCCAAGUACCUCAUGUACCCAAUAACUCAAUGCUCGUCCACUCAGUACUGUAUAUGGCUCGUACAACCCAGGGAAGAUCCAUCCCCCAUAUAUAUACAUCUCUGACAGCAAUCACUCAGUACUGAGGGAGGCCAAUCCAGCCUACAGAGAAGAUCCAUCUCCUAGUAAUAAUAAUGACAACCUCACAACCACUCGGUACCGUAUAUGGCUUACAAGGCCCAGGGAAGAUCCAUCUCGGAAUAUAUAUAUAUACAUCACAGACUGUUCGUCUCCAGUACCGAGAAACAGGCCAAUCCAGCCUCAUGGAGAAGAUCCAUCUCCAAACCAAUACUUCGGACAAGACCCACGUCCAGGGAAGAUCCAUCCCUCAAUAUCAUCAACUGCGCUCACUGGGGAUGUAAAGACUCCGGAGGGGCUUCUCUGAGCCCAAGCGCUAUAUCAAUUCCAGUGAAGGCAUGAUCAAUAUCUCGCUAUAGCGUGCAGCCCGAUCCCAUAUUGUUAAUCAAUAUCAGGCUCUCGGCCUCACUCAGUCAAUACUCUCCGGUCUCACACACACGGGCAAAAAAUGUCAUGAUACAAGCCCGAACAAUGAUAUGAUAUGUCAUAUAGCAGUAAUCGAGAUUGAGGCAUGAUAUAAUAUGCAUGAACAGGACUGAGUAUAGAAUAUAAAUGAAGCUAAUGACAUGACAGCAAGAAACAACCUCUUGGUUCUCAACAAUGUUGGCGUGAAGCCUUAACAUAAUAAUUAACAUGAUUUGCAGCUCAUUAACUUAAUCAUAUAAUUACAACACAGAUAUCAGCAUAAAAGAGUCACUAAGCGGUGCCAUGGAAUGAUCCAGGCCGCAUUUCUUAUGGAGCACGCCCACACGCCCGUCACUUGGCAUAGCGUCACCUCAAUAGUAAUCAUAGAACACAUAGUUCGUGGUUUCAAAUCCUCAGAACCAAAUUUGGAAGCGUUACUUACCUCAAGCCAAGCCAAACUCUAGCCCACGACGCCUUUGCCUCUAGAUUCGACCUCCAAAUACCCCAAAUCUAACCAAAAUCAGUAUGCAACCAUCAAUAUAUACUAAAGGAGUAAAACCCAUAUGAAAAUUAUCAAUUUAACUCAAAAAUCCCGAAAUUGGCCAAACCCGACCCCGGGCCCACGUCUCGGAUUCCGAUAAAAUUCACAAAACUAUAAUCCUUACACUCUUACGAGUUCAUAUAUACCAAAUACACAAAAAUCCGACCACAAACAACCCCUCACAUUCCUAAUCAAAGUCUCCAAUACCAAACCCUAAUCUCCCAACUUUCUUCCCUAAUUUUCCACUAAUACCAUGAUUAAACAAUGGACAAAUGGCCAUAAACACAAAUAAUAAGGCUUAAAAAGCUUACCCAACUGAAACCCUUCGAUUUCCUUGAAAAAUCACAGCCCUAGCUCUCUCCCCGUCUUCUAAAAUGGUGAAACUUAGCAAAAUUUUGCGAAGGCAUCUUUUUAUAUGUUCUGCCCAGCGAUACCGCACAUGCGGUCCAUUUCCUGCAUCUGCGACUAUCCAACUGCUUCUGCGACUAUCCAACUGCUUCUGCGAUUUUCAUUUAAUUUCCCUUACCGCACCUGCGACUCAAUCUCCACAUCUGCGUGCCUUCUGCAUCUGCGGUGCUCGUCCAAACCGUUGACCUUCGCUUCUGCGGUCAAUACACCGCUUCUGCGGCUUGCACCUGCGGUCCCCAAAUCGGCGGGUGUAGUUAUGACAGAAAACUCAGCAGCUGAAGUUGCUCCAACAAAUUUCCAACCUUCCCGUUAACCAUCCGAAAUCAUCCCGAGGCCCCCGAGGCCUUAACCAAUAGUUUGAACAAGUCAUAUUCCACUAUUCAAACUUGUACCAAUCCUCGGAACACUUAAAACAAUGCCAAAACACCAAUUCACCCUCGGAUUCAAGCCUAAGGAUUUCGAAACUUCUGAAUUCCGCAAACGAUCAAAAUUUCUAUCAAACCUCCUCCGAAUGACCUGAAAUUUUGCACACACGUCACAAAUGACACAACGGACCUACUCCAAUUUCUGGAAUUUCAUUCCAACCCCGAUAUCAAAAUUUCACUACCAACCGGAAAGCGCCAAAAUUCCAAUUUCGCCAAUUCAAGCCUAAACCUACCACGGACCUCCAAAUUACAUUCCGAGCACACUCCUAAGUCCCAUAUUACCUCACGAAGCUAUCUGAAUCGUAAAAACCAAGUUCCGAGAUCAUUUACUUGCAAGUCAACUUCUGAUUGACUUUUUCCAACUUUAUAAUCAACUUAAGAGACUAAGUAUCUCAUAACUCAGUGAGAUACUGAACCGGGUCGUUAUAAAAGAGCUGAACCACACAAAAUGAAGCAGAAAUGGGGGAAACAAGGCUAAAACUCUCGGAAUGACCGACCGGGUCGUUAUAUUCUCCCCCACUUAAACAUACGUUCGUCCUCGAACGUGCCCAGAGCUGUUCUGAAAACCAUCAAAUCGUUGUAUAACCUUACCAUGCACAUACUCGGGGAUGAUCCCACGUCACCCUAUCUCAUAUAAUUUCGAUAACACAAUGUAACUAAAAUUUUGCAAUCCAACCUAGCCCAUAUACCUUAGAACCAAAUUUCCACUUUCGGAGUUAUCUAUAAGAUCAUAAUCUCACAUCUACAUACCGAAUAAAUCUGAACACGCUGUAUCAAGCCAUAACCACAAUUCAAGAUGGGAAUCACAGGAUGUACCAUACCACUCGAACACUCAUAGAAAAAAUUUCAAACCACAACAACUGCUCAAAACAACCGAAUACCGAUGAUAAACCUCUUAUCAAAUAAAACCUCAUUCCAACACUUUCGCACUGCCAACGAUGAAUGAAACACGUAGAAAAAUCAUAACCAUUCCUCAUAUCAACUAGUCAUGGAGCUUCCGCUUCUUCGGUAAGGACCAUAGUAAAUUUCUAUACCGAAUCCCAAUAUUAUCCUUCCAACAUGCUGAAAUUGAAUUCGAUAGUAUUCAUUCUAGAUCCAAUGACCUCAUCUCAUCCAACACGACUACUUUGGUGACAUGACACAUCAAUACAAUCUAAAUCCACAACUCGUGCAAUCCGCGCACCAAUAAGCAACAAUCCAAAUGUACUCAAAUCAUGGAAAAGUGACUCAAAUGAGAGAUCUGUACCGCAAGCUCACCAAUACCACCACCACGCAAUGCUUAGAACCUAUCACACAUCGAAGGACCAGAACACAUUAAUCUAACUCGAAGGGUCAUACCUCCACAUAACUUCGCUACAAUGCACGACCUUAUCUGAACACUGGUCCACAUGAAACACCUCGAGUCACUAUGCUUAAAAUCAACAACUACGUGCAAUUUGAUGUCGAGAACCAAAAGCAAAUCAUCAUAACCACGGAGAAGCAAAUGACAAAACACCGAAAAAACCCGAAGGACACAACCGAUACGCCAUCUAUCGAGUAAUACCCAAUACUCUUUCCGCUCGGAUUCCACUAUAAGAACCCAAUAGAACCGCACCAUGUGUGACUAUAACCAACAAAUUAUAAUGCCUCGCAACACGGAAAGGUAACUCAUAGAUCACCCCAUGACACUAAUAAGCUUAAUAACAAUCGAAUCAACACAUCCCUCAACAAUAGCGAUCGGAGUCAACAAGGCCGACUCGAUGCAGAACACAUAUCCAUAUUGGCCCACCAAUGAACCCCUUUAUCAAGGAGUUUCUGAAGUUGCUCUACCAACUCUUUUAAAUCCGCCGGUGCCAUAUGACACGGUGCACAGUCACCAGAUCAAUACCCAAAUCAACAACCUUGUCCGGCGGCAUGCCCGGCAAUAGGAGACACAUCCAAAAACUCCCUCACCAUCGGAACUGAAUCAAUGGUAGGAGUCUUUGCACUGAUAUCCCUCACGAAGACCAAAUAAGAAAGACAACCCUUCCAACCAUUAGAUGGGUCUUCAAAAAUGGAAUCAGUCUAUUAGGAACAUAACCCGUUGAACCUUGCCACUCAAUCUGUGGCAUCCCCGGCAUAGCCAACAUCUCCAUCUUGGCAUAAUAGUCCAAAAUAGCACAACAUGGAGACAACCAAUCCAUAUCCAAUAUCAAAUCAAAACCCACCAUGCUAAGCAACAACAAAUCCACUCGACCUCUAAACCCCCGAUAGUCACCACACAAGGCUGAUACACAUGACCCACAGACACAACAUAACGUGUUUAUGAAAACUCCAAAUCUUUAAAUCCAUAGAGCACACGAAUCACCAUAUCCGAUCCCAAUCCUACCGUCCGAAUAUAUAACACACCUCUAAUACCCAAUCAUUCCACGAGGGAGUACUCCUAUAAUUCCUUUGUGCUACCAAGCAAACUUGAAUAUCAGCAGUCGAUCCAAUAAGAGAGUGUCGCAAUACCAAUGAUGUAUUAUUAACUCAAUCACAUUGCCCGUUCUGAGAUGCAUGCCCUCAUCAAGCCAUACCAAUUAACAAUAUCAUUUACCUAAUCAUCAGAAACUACCCUUGCUGCCUAAGAAUUUAUGUUCUUCCUUUCAUAACCGAACUGUGACCUUUCACGUGCUAAUCUCAACCCUACACAACACACCGCAUAUACCAUGCCAUCCUAUGACAAAUAUGAGAACUUCAUAAUCCAUUUCGAAGACACAAACAACUAUGUGCUCCACUAGCCAAGAACUUUCCAUUUGAUCCAAUCUAGAAGGAAAUUGCUAUACCUCGCAUGCUCCUCAAUCCAGUAGAAAUUAUACAUCUCUAACUAUGGUAGAAACCAUCAAGAAUUCCCCGAAUCCCAUUUGCACAAAACCAAACCGUCAGAACCGAAUCCUUCUAACUCAACCAGGCCACGCAAGCUACCAAAAAAAAUCCAAGAGCAUUGCCACGAAACACCUGUAGAAACUCAUUACCUCAUAAGAGCCCAAAGAACUAAUCAUAUCCCUUACCAUGCCGAUCCGACCUACUACUAAGCUGUUAGUUUGUAUGAGUCCACCAAACAGUAGAGUACCUGGUCCUCUAUGAGGUAACUCUAAGAAUGCUAAUAAAAAUUGCAAGUAAAUGAGACAUAGGAUUUUUACGUGGAAAAAUCCCAACUCAAGGGGACAAAAACCAUGACCUAUACCUGUAGGCUUUCAACUUCACUAACUUGUAAACACCUAUUACAAGGCACUUUGUAAUAACUCUAUUACAAAGAAUUUAACUCAACUAACUUGUGGUACUCUCACCACAAGCCACUUUGUCACUCUCUAGUUACAAAGACAUUAACUAACUUGUGAUACUCUCACUACAAGCCACUUUGUCACUCUCUAGUUACAAAGACUUAAACUUAUGACUAAAGUCACUCUCUAGUUACAAAGACUUAAACUUAUGACUAAACCUAGUCACAACCUAAACUCAGAGAGUUUACGGAUUUUACAAGAGGGUUCCUAAUCAACGCUUCUAGCUAAGCAAUUUAGGAGAUACAAUAAGAACAAUCACAAAGUUACAACUCAACUAAGGACAACAAAAUACUGACUUUAGGAACUGGUCCGUAGUAGCAUUUAACUUUGUUCUUCUAGCUCGUAAGAAUUAAUUUCUCUAUUUUGCAAAAGGCUUGAAUGAGAAACAGAAAUGGUCAAGUGAUGUUUUGAUAUAAACUCAUUAUUGGUACACUGUGAUGACAUCACUUGAAAUGAUGUAAGCACUUUAGUUGGUCAAGGAAUAAGUGGGCACUAGAAACAGUGCAGUGCAUGCAAAAACAGUGCAGGCGGUCAUGUCGGUUCCAGCUGUGUCCAAUUUACUUUGUACUGCUAUGAGGGAACAACAUGGGUAUCGGGUCCUUGUUUGGUUUCCUAUCUCCUGAGGUUAUAGCAGUCCGCAUUUAGUUGGAAUCCGUUAACUUGCAGUAUAGUCCAAGUGUGUUAGGUGCCCUAUCUGGUUCUUGACACAGUUUGUUAGAUCAUCAAAACAUAAGUCAAAGACAUUGAAAACCUAUCAAUUUCCCCCUUUUUGAUGAUGGCAAACUUAAACAGAUAACAUGUAUUUAGAGCAAGAAGAACCAGAUAAAGUAACAUGAACUCAUAAGUGUUCCCCCUGACUUUAUGCCUUCCUUUUUGAAAUAUGUUUCUUUCUUUUUUAUAUAUUCCCCCUUUUGGCAUCAUUAAAAAGACAUAAUCAGAUACACAACAUAAAGAAGUCUAGUCGAGUUAAUUCAUGCCACAUAUGUGCACACCACAUGAUAGAGAAGAGAGUCAUAAAAUACAAGCAAUGAGAUAACAAAAGAGGAUAGAUUUGAUAUAGAUAGAAAAUUUUAUAUGCCUUAGCUUAAAAAGCAAAGGCAACAUUGGACUGUUAAGACGGGAGCAGUAUUGUUUCAUCCCAACCACAUCAAAAAAGAAAAAAAACAUCUGCCAAUCAAAACAAAAAAAACUUAAAGGACAUUUCCAAAAACUAGUCACUGAAGGGGUACUUAGGGGGCACUAGGAGUAGAGGGCUUGGAAGUUGUAUCAAGUGUUUGGAGAACAAGGUCUAUUCGGGCAUUGGCCGACUUUUGCUCAUUGAGCAGUUCUGCUUUCAGGUUCUCUACUUGCGCCGUGAUAUUAGCAUUCUCUUUUGUCAAACGAACUACUUCAUCAUUUGACGCCAGAACCCCUUGGGCUUGCUGACCUUCCAGGAUAGCAUUCCUAGCCUUCAACCGACGAAUCUCCUCAGUUGCACUAUUCUACGCAUUAAUGAGCUGUGAGAUGGUUGAUGUACUUCCUACUCCCCCAUUCUUUUCUAUGCACUCGCAUUCUUCUAAUGUUAUCUGUGAGAAGGUCUGCUUCUUAGUCCCCAACUUGCUCUACCCCAGAGGCACCUCAAAGAACUUAAACACUCGCGUAAGCAAAAAUCCGUAGGGAAGGCCAUGAUUACCAUCUUUGAAGGUGGCUACCUUUUGCAUGUGUUCAAUCAUAAUAGCAGGCAGACUUACAAGAGUAAAGUUAUCCAGUUGCUCCAUCAAGAAUAGGUUAGACUUAGAAGUCAUGGACCUCCUCUCAGCAUGAGGUAAUAGAACUUUGUUGACCAAUUCAAAAAGCAGUUGAUAGACAUGGAGUAACGCCUUCUUAUGGAUCUGGUGCCUCUUUUGGUUUGCAUUGAAUUUUACCACGUCAUUUAUGAAGUUAAACUAACACACGUUCUUUACACUGGACACACCAACUGUAGGAACUUUAAGAAUUUCUCCAAGCAACUUAACAUCGAACAUUAUAUCUACUCCAUUCACCAAAGCACAAAUGUGGUAGGUCUCAAUAGGAAAGAGGCUAGCAAAGAAGCUUUGUACCUCAUCCUCAUAUGCCUUAGGUGCAUCUAUUUGGAAUAGAUGCCCCCAUCGUUGAAACUCAACCAUUUCAAGAAUUUGUCGCAUACCAGCCAUCUCCGAGAUUGCUGGGUCAAACGUGUGACCUAGCAAAACCUUUUGGUGCCUCAAGUGUUCUGAACCAAGGCUGACUUCACUUCUCAUCCUCUUCACAAAACUAGGUUCCUAAACAAUUUCAGACUUUCGUUUGCCGAACUUCCCACCACUUGUUUUCUCUUUUUCCUUGGACUUGACUAACACAUCCUCAUCAGACAUUGAGAACUCACUCACAACAUCUUUUAACUUGUAGGUAGAGGUUGAACCCUUCUCUACUGAAGCAGGCUGCUUCUUUUUCAGAGACCGUCUAACCAGUGAACCAGGUUCAUCUGGUGUUUCCUCUUGUACCUCUACCACAGGGAUCACCUUAUCACUUACAGGCACACUAUCUUUCACCAACUUCCUCCUUUGCUUCUUACUGCUUUUUCUAGUUUUUUGAAGGGCAGAGUCGUAGGUCACCUUAGCUUGCAACCUGGUAGUAGGUCGUUUGGUGGAAGACUCAAGAGUGGACACAACCUUCCGCUUAACAAUGAAUGCAUCGAGAGCCAUGUUAUCUAGAUCCUCCUCAUCAUUGGAUCUCAUCUCAGGAGAUAGAAUGUCCAGAGGCGCAACAUCAACUACAAGAGUAGAACUAUCCUGGGAAUGAAAACCCUGACCUGGGUCCUCUGGAGAGGGAUCAGGUUCCUCAUGCGAGAGCCCAGUAGCUUCUGCUGGCGCAGUAUCCUCAACUGUCACUAUAGCUCUUUCUUCCCCCAUACCCUGUACCGCAUUAUUCUAAGUGAUUAUCUCCUGAAGAAUACUGUCAGCAAAUACCACAAAGAUGGUUACAACAUUGUCUUUCUCAAUCAGCACUACUGCCACCACAGAAUUUGCAGCAACGAUGGCGGAACCCUCUGCGAUCUCAUGCCUUUGACUUUGUUCUCCACUUUGUCUUUGAUUAGUGGGUAUCUUAGAAGAUAGAGUGGAUGAAUCACUAUUUUUAGGGUUUUCUAAACUAGAAAGAGACGGAGAAUUUAGGUGAGGUGUGAUUUUAGCAGGGGGAGUAGGAGUGGUUAUAAAAGACUCCGAAGGGAUGGAGGACUCCAUAGGGUUUUUAGUAACUGGUAUGACUAAGACAAGGAGGUCGAAGUUUGUAUCAACCAUGGAAAGAUGGACUGAAGAUGCUUUGGGGAGUUCUAAUGGAGGACUUAUGGUUUGUGGAGAACAAAGGGUGGUAAUAUUAAGAAUGGAUAAUUAUGAAGAAAGAGAUAGGGACCAGUUCUGAAAUGACAGUUGGGCAUGGAGAAGUGCAGCAUUUCAGAGGGAGAUGGAGCGAUUUGAAGUGAAGAGACGUGGCAGCAGAGUCUGAAAAGUUGGAUGAUAUGGCAGUUCUGUUUUGUACCCUUUUUAAGACGUGUAUCAAAGAAUGCACAGAACUACUAACCUUUGGUACAAGAACCAGGUUCUUGACCUAUUAUUUGAAAGUAUCAAUCCUCUUUUAUCAUCCAUGCACUGCAUCUACAGCUUCUAUACUCAUCAUGCGUGUUUACCUGAAAUGGUAUUGAAGUGAGUUAGACAUGGCCAGAAAAUACUUUUAGCCAGUUUUCUUGGAAGGUGAUUUUCAUAGCCAAACAAUGAGGAAUCAGGUUCUCAAUUGGGCUUUAAAAGCCCCAACUUCACUCUAUUUCUUUCAAAGUGUUCCCUACUUAAUGACUUGGUGAAGAUGUCUGCAAUUUGGUCUUCUGUGCUAUAAAACUUCAUACAUAUCAUCCCUUUCUCCACAUUGUCCCUCAGAAAGUGAUGUCUCACAUCAAUAUGCUUGGUCAUUUUGUGUUGAACUGGAUUCUUAGCCAUGUUGAGUGCACUGGUGUUAUCACAUAGAAGGGGCACACUCUCAGUGAGUACCCCAAAGUCCUCCAGUUGUUGCUUAAUCCAUAGAAGUUGAGCACAACAGGAUGAUGUGGCUACAUAUUUUACUUCAGGAAAGAGCCACUGAGUUUUGCUUCCUUGUGCCCCAAGAGAUGAGACAUGAAACUAGGAAGUGAGCCAUUCCGGAAGUGCUUUUCCUAUCCACAAAAUAACCUGCAUAGUCUACAUUAGCAUAUCCAAUGAGAUUAAAACUGUCACCUGAGGGAUAAUAAAGAACCAGGUCCUGUGUUCCUUUAAGAUAUUUUAGAAUUCUUUUAGCAGCCUUCAAAUGAGAUUCCUUGGGAUUUGAUUGAAACCUUGUGCGUAGCCCUACACUGAAGACAAUAUUAGGUCUAUUGGCAGUGAGAUAGAUAAGAGACCCAAUGAUGCCUCUAUACAUGGUUUGAUUUAUAGGAGGUCCAGUUUCAUCCAUGUCCAGUCGAGUGGCUAUAGCGAUGGGAGUGUCUAUCACCUUUGAUGCCUCCAUGGCAAACCUCUUCAAGAGCUCCCUGAUGUAUUUUUGCUGACAAAUGAAUGUACCCUUUGUGGACUAUUUUACUGGAAGACCCAAGAAUAAAUUCAAUUCCCCCAUCAUACUCAUUUCAAACUCACUUCCUAUGAGUUUUGCAAAUUCUUCACACAAAGAAUCAGCUGUUGCCCCAAAAAUGAUAUCAUCAACAUAGACCUGAACAAUGAGCAGGUUCCUUCCCCGUUUCUUUAGGAACAGGGUGUUGUCAAUUUUCCCUCGUUAAAGCCAUUUUCCAAGAGGAACUUUGACAGCCUUUCAUGCCAGGCUUGAGGAGCCUGCUUCAACCCAUACAAUGCUUUGUCCAGUUUAAACACAUAUUCAGGGUGUUCAUGACAUUCAAACACUGGAGGUUGCUUCACAUAGACUUCUUCUUUAAGAAGUCCAUUUAGAAAUGCACUUUUGACAUCCAUUUGGAACAAGGUGAAUUCCAUAUGAGAUGCAAAUGCGAUUAGAAUUCUAAUAGCUUCCAUGCGAGCGACCGGAGCAAACGUUUCAUCAUAGUCAAUCCCUUCCUCCUGAUUGUAGCCUUGAACUACUAGCCUAGCCUUGUUUCUUGUGGUAUUUCCAUGUUCAUCAAGCUUGUUCUUGAAUACCCACCUAGUUCCUAUAAUGGUUCGAUCUGGCGGUUUGCGUACCAGGUGCCAGACAUUGUUCCUUUCAAACUGAUGCAACUCUUCUUGCAUUGCGGUAAUCCAAUCUGCAUUUGUCAAGGAUUCCUUGAUAUUUUUGGGUUUUAUUUGGGAGAGAAAGGCUGAGAAGGUGAGUGAGUUUCUAGCUUUUGACCUGGUUUGUGCUCCGGAAUCUAGAGGGGUAAUUAUGUUGUCAAGAGGAUGUGAGUUUUUGUUUCUCCAGUUAGAAGUCUGAGGUUCAUUGAUAGAGAAUGUGGUUACAUUUGAUUGGUUUUCCUAUGUUCUUCUCUCAGGUGCUAGUGGUGUACCUUGAACUGCAUCAACCACUCUUUUUUCAGCUUCAGUUGUUGUAAUUGAAUUACCUGGUUCCAUUGAAGAUGAGGCAUCAUUGUCUUCACUCAGUUCUUUUAUUUGGCUCAUCAUAUCUGUCUUUCUAUUUGUCAUGUUAAUGACUUCAACAGGGACUAGUAAGGGUUCUCCAUCUUGAUCUUCUCCAGCACUCUUCUCACAGGAUGGAUAAGACUCAUAAAAAAUAACAUGAACACUUUCCUCAACACAUUGAGUCCGCUUAUUGUAUAUUUUGUAUGCUUUGCUAUGAGAAAAGUAGCCCAGAAUAUUCCUUCAUCACUCUUGGCAUCAAAUUUACCAAGCUAAUCAUUUCCAUUAUUGAGAACACCCUAGAUGAGUCAGUUUGGGUUUCUUUCCGUUCAACAACUCAUAUGAGGUUUUAUUCAGGAGUGAUCUGAUCAUGCACAUAUUCACCAAGUAGCAAGCAGUGUUGACUGCUUCAGCCCAGAAGUUCUUUGUAAUUGCACUGUCGAUUAGCAUUGUUCUUCCCAUUUCUACCAGAGUUUUAUUCUUCCUUUCCACUACUCUAUUUUGCUGGGGAGUUCUGGGAGCUGAAAAGUUGUGAGUGAUACCAUUUUCAUUGCAGAACUUAUCAAAUUUGACAUUGUCAAAUUCUGUUCCAUGAUCUGAUCUAAUGCAUGCUACUCUAGACUCCAUCUUCACCUGGAUUUUCUUCACAAAGGCCACAAACACCUCAAAGGUUUCAUCUUUAGUUCUAAGAAAUAGGGUCCAUGUGAAUCUGGAGUAGUCAUCCACUAUCACAAAAUGUAUCUUUUUCCUCCCCUGCUUUGCACUCUCAUAGGACCACAUAGGUCCAUAUGCAGAAGCUCAAGUGGCUUUGAGGUGCUCACAUCCUUUUUAGACUUAAAAGGGGACUUCAUAUGUUUUCCUCUAGCACAAGCAUCACAAACCUUUUGCACUUUGAACUUUAACAUGGGUAGACCAUUGACCAGGUCCUUCUGAAUUAGUUUGUUCAGAAGAGAAACGCUUGCGUGCCCCAGUCUUUUGUGCCAUAGUUCAACAUCAUCAUCAACAACUUUCAGACAACUCAGAUCACCACUUUGUAAGAACUUAAAAUCCGCAACAUAGAUGUUAUUGUAUCUCUUGGCCACAAGUACCACUUCACCAGUUACUAGAUCAGUAACUGUACAUAUCUUGGACAAGAAUUCCACCUUGUUUCCAUUAUCACAGAUCUAAGAGACGCUCAAGAGACUGUACUUAAGGCCAUUAACAUAGUACACAUUUUCAAUAGAAUGAGUAAGUGACUUUCCGACUUUUCCAACUCCAAUAAUGUACCCCUUUUUACCAUUGCCAAAUGAUACACUCCUUCCUUGCAGGGCUGAUGGGUUUUCAAUGUCCUUGCCUUAUGCUUCUUAUAUUUUGAUGAUCUAACAAACUUGUUGUGAAGAACCAAAUAGAGAACCCGGCACACAUGGUAUACAUUUCAACUGAACUGGUCCAAGUCUGAAAAUCAGCAAAUGAAUAAAUGACCACAGGGAGAAACACAAUAGAGACCUGGUGACUUGGUCCCUUAGGGUUCUUUGACAUAAGUACAAGUCAAUGACUAUCCGCAAUCAUUAUAAAGAGGAACACAAUAGGGACCUGGUCCAUUAGGGUUCUCUGACAGAAGUAUAAGUCAAUGUACAGCUGGAACAUAACAGCAGAAGGUGACCAUCUCGCAACUGUUACAGAGGAGGAACACAACUAGUACCUGGUUCAUUAGUGUUCUCUGACAGAAGUAUAGGUAGAUUAUCCAGCUAGAACGCAACUGCACAGAAGUGGCUGUGCAGACAGUCCAACAGUCACUUCUCAAUGGGAAGAAGCGUGUACCAAGAAUUGAUAUCACUAUCUAUUGUCGCGCCCCCUUUUUCCCUCCCCUUUUGACACGGGAAGAGGUCCGGGUUUCGACAUUCACGGAGUGUAAUGACUCAUUCCCUUUUGGGAAUUGGGUAUUUGAAGAGUCGCCACCUAACGGAUUAUGGUGCGUUAGGGCACCUAGAGCGAUUAACUCUUGGGUUGGUUUGCAUUACCAGAGAUUAGGGUAAGGGCUCGAAGUAACCUCGAGGGGAAGGUGUUAGGCACCCCUCUUGGUCCAAAACUGUGGGUCCCGACCAAACUUAUAUUCACAAAUUAGUCCAUAUAAACAUUUGAAUCAUAUAAGUUGCAAGUAAAACACAUUGGAUAACUCAAGUAGCAAGAUAAAGGUUUGAACAAGUUGUAAAAAAGGUUUAAAUAAAAAGAGGAUUUGGGUAUAGAGGGGUCCUAGGUUGGUUAUCCUAUAGGAUCACCCCACUCAAUGUCUGGUAAACACUCCUCAAUGAGGGUCUACACGUGACAUUAACGCGUAGUCAUCAUAUCCCAUGUCUACCCUUCCCAUCCCCUUAUUAGUCAUGCAAAGCGAGUGUUUGGUCAAUGAAUCCUAUUGUGUCUGCUACCCGUCCCUUCUUAAUGGUCCUAGAGGGAGUGAGUACCUCUACCUAUAGGUAGUUCUAGACGUACCCCUAAGGUUUAGAAAUGCAAAAAUUCUAAGGCGACAGUCAAAACAUUCAGGACUUUCACACAUAAUGGGAACAAUUAAGAGGCUCAGAGUUUCCUCCUCAAACAAACACAUAAGCCGCACGACUCAAACAUAGUUAAGGUCUUUUAUUAAUCAAUGUCCUAGAGUAGGAUACCUAAGUGAAUAUGCAAAAACAGACAAAACCUUUUAGACUCAGAAAUUAUACCUUAGUAGUUGCCUAGAGACUCUUAAUGUUAGGAUCAGAAACAUUAAGCAAUAGAGACAGAUUCAGAGAAAUGCAAUUUUUAAAAACGUCUAUGUUAAUGCAGAAACAAACAGAUUUUGAAAUAGACUCCUUUAAUACCUAUAGGCAUUAUAUAUAACGAGAUUGAGGCAGUUUAAAAUAACUCGUUUCAGGAAGUGCUUAAUAUUUAAUAAGACUAAUUCAGAAAUGAACUAGGCAUGAUUAAACUGAUUAUUAGACUAAAUCAGACAGAAUUGCAAGUAGGGAUCCUUAUAGGCAUAAUAUCUAGGCAUAUUAUUGAUGGUUAACGAUUUGCAGGCAUAAAAACAUACAGAAAUACUUGUUAUAAAUGAAUCAGAAUUAAGUCCUAUAGGUAUGGUGUCAAUUAUUAAACUGAUUUAAGACAUGAUUGUUUGGAACCUAUAAACAUGGUUUCUAAACAUGACAGAACAUAAAACCUUAUAGACAUGGUUUCUACUUGAUGAACAAACAAACUUAAAAGUGAAAUCCUAUGGACAUGAUUUCUAUUAGGCAAAGAAAUCAGAUUAAAGAGCAAACCUAUGAGCAUGUUUUCUAUUUAGGCAAGCAAUCAGACUUUAAAAAUAAUGUCCUAAAAGCAGGAUUUCUAUUCGUAUUACCCCAGAAAGUAUGCAUCUACCCACCCUUUUACUAAACACCCCAAAUAUAUGUUUACAAAUUAUUACAGGACAAUGAAUGAAUUACAUAAGUAAAAUAGAAAAUCAAGAAGCUAUUCUAUAGGGAGCCUUCAGUUAGGCCCAGGUUUCCCAAAGCCUCCAAUAGUCUCAUAAGCCUCAGUUCCAUAGACAAAAUCAGAGUCUAGGUGUAUCAAAGUUCCCUAAGGAUCUCAAGGAUCCCAGGCAGUGCUUACACCUAGACUUAGUAACCAAAGAAUUGAACAAGUGCAGUGUGGAAAGGCCAGCCUCAGUAUGCCAGAGUUCAGAGGGUUCUCAAAAGGAUCCCAAGGCAGUACACAUACUAGAGGGGGCAGAACUUAUUGACUAAGAGUAGAGUGAGAAGUGAAGGACACAAGUUGAAAGAGUUUUAGUAAGACAGUAUUUAACAAAAGUCCAUUUGAGAGUAAUUAAGUAAAGCAAAAGAUUGUUUGAAAAAGAGAUUGGAGUAGUCAACAAUGUUCAAACACCUUAGGAUAGGAUCAUACACAGCUAGUUCACAGAACCAAGUAAAUUCACUAGUCACACACAAGGUCAAGGGGUUUGUGACACAUAGAACAUUUGGGCGGCAAACACAUAACCCAGCAAAGGUUUUAGGACAGGUUUAGACAUGCUCAGAAACAGUUGACACUGGCAUAGUCACACAACCAGUCAUAAAGAACACAAAAACAUAAAGGGGUGACAGGGAUUUGGGGAUCCAUGGGAUAUAGGUUGGUAAGUAUACAAUAAGUAAGAGACAAUUGGUAAGGCAUGCUCAGAAACACACAUAAGGGGAAUGUACUAAUCUAAAGGAAGGGGAAUACAUAAUAACAUGUUGUCAAUGUAACUCUUAACUACAAAUUUCACAACAGAACCCCAAAUAGAAGCAAAUCAGAAACAAGAGAAACUGAAACAAUAGGAAAAGCAUGUUGUUGUUGGAGCUUUAAAUUGAAACUAGGACAUACCAGUGAAGAGAAGAGUAAGCAGAAUAAAAGAACAAGAGAGUACAAAUGGUUAGCCUUGGCUUGCAGCCGGCUAACAGUAGCAAAUAGCACAAGAGAGAGAGCAGAGAUUUUUUAGUAAGAGAAAUAGUUUUUUGAAACCAAGUGUUCGUGUGUCUGUGUUAAUGAAAGACUGGAGUAUUUGUAGUUUGAAAACAGGUAGUAAAAAUAGUAGCAUGGUAAUUAAGGAACUCAGAAUCAGUCAGUCAAAAAUCAAGGCAAGUACUCCUUAAGUUAAGGGAUUUAAUUCAAACGGUAAGAAUUAGAAUCAUAUAAGGCAAGAAAAAAAUCAGUACAUGGAUAAUAAGGAAAGAAUCAAGGUUCAGUAAGCAUAGGGUAGCCAAUUAGGACUAAGUUCAACAAACUCUAAUUUAGGAAAGGAUUCAGUCAGAAUAAAAUACCACAGCAAAUAAGGUAGGGAAUCAGUCAAUUUAAACAGACGAGGUAGAAUUUUAGGAUUUUUAAAGAAAACCUUUCAAUCAAACCAUCAAUUAAGGAAAUCAGAAUCAACCAAGAAGGAGUCAUGAUUCUAUACUUCAACAUAUAAAUAGAGGAGAUCAAACAGACCUUGCAAACAGGCAAGGUCAGCAAUAUUGACAGAAAGAGGCAAGAGUUGAAAAAUCAAGAUGAAUAUCAUCACAUAGGUGAUACAAGUAGGCUAAAGACUCAGUAAAAACCCAUUCAAAGCAUGGUAACCACAGAAACUUAACAAAGUCGAGUAGUCAUGCUAACACACAGAACCAAAACAAAGAAAAUCUAAAAAAAAAUUAGUGCUUUUAACAGAGGCGAGUUGAAAAAGCAGUAAGAACAUAGAAUCGGUCAAGACAUGUAAGGAAAGAGGUUUAAACAUAAAGCAAAUCAAUUUAAACAAGUGUAGAAGUGACUCUGAGAAACCCGAACUUUAAAGAAAGUAAAAACGGCUUAAAGUUGAUGAUUUUUCAAAAGAAGUUUGAGAAUAGUGUAAAACAAAAAAAUGACAUACUUAAAUCGUUAAAAGAGCACAAAUCUGAGAGGUACAAACGAAAGUUAGGGUUUCAAAGGCAACCCAAAUAGAAAUGGAAGAACCUGCUAUAUCUUCAAAGAUCGUAACAAAUAUGGUGUGAUUUUGCCCAAAAUCACACCGGAGAAGCCAUGAACAACCAAAAUAGAAACCCUAGGUACAAAUCGGUAUGGCCCAGGGCCCUUGAAGGCCUCAGAGAUGAUGAGCAAGGCGAUGGAGGAACCCUUAGAGGCUUGGAGUUGAAAGGUGAUCGCCGGAGAUGACCGGAGAAGGAGGCGGCGAUUGAAGGGGAUUAGGGUUAGGUUGAGAGAGAAGAGAGAGACGAGAUCAUCUGAAGGGAGCGGAUUUGGGAAAUG
rnacentral:lncRNA from 1 species